rnacentral:rRNA from 1 species
GUGGGGAAUCUUCCGCAAUGGACGAAAGUCUGACGGAGCAACGCCGCGUGAGUGAUGAAGGUCUUCGGAUUGUAAAGCUCUGUUAAUCGGGACGAAAGAGCCUAGUGUGAAUAAUGCUAGGAAGUGACGGUACCAGAAUAGAAAGCCACGGCUAACUACGUGCCAGCAGCCGCGGUAAUACGUAGGUGGCAAGCGUUGUCCGGAAUUAUUGGGCGUAAAGCGCGCGCAGGCGGAUCUGCCAGUCUGUCUUAAAAGUUCGGGGCUUAACCCCGUGAUGGGAUGGAAACUACAGAUCUAGAGUAUCGGAGAGGAAAGUGGAAUUCCUAGUGUAGCGGUGAAAUGCGUAGAUAUUAGGAAGAACACCAGUGGCGAAGGCGACUUUCUGGACGAAAACUGACGCUGAGGCGCGAAAGCCAGGGGAGCGAACGGGAUUAGAAACCCUGGUAGUCC